CCUACGGGUGGCAGCAGUGAGGAAUAUUGGUCAAUGGGCGCAAGCCUGAACCAGCCAAGUCGCGUGAGGGAUGACGGUCCUAUGGAUUGUAAACCUCUUUUGUCGGGGAGCAAGGCCCGCCACGUGUGGCGGGAAGGAGAGUACCCGAAGAAAAAGCAUCGGCUAACUCCGUGCCAGCAGCCGCGGUAAUACGGAGGGAGCGAGCGUUAUCCGGAAUUAUUGGGCGUAAAGGGUGCGUAGAUGGCAUAGUAAGUCUUUUGUAAAAAUGCUGGGCUCAACCCAGUAGGGCAAAAGAUACUGCAAAGCUAGAGUAUGACAGAGGCAAGUGGAACUACAUGUGUAGCGGUAAAAUGCGUAAAUAUAUGUAAGAACACCAGUGGCGAAGGCGGCUUGCUGGGUCGAUACUGACAUUGAGGCACGAAAGCGUGGGGAGCAAACAGGAUUAGAUACCCCUGUAGUC
rnacentral:rRNA from 1 species